GAUGAACGCUGGCGGCGUGCCUAAUACAUGCAAGUAGAACGCUGAAGGAAGGAGCUUGCUCUUUCCGGAUGAGUUGCGAACGGGUGAGUAACGCGUAGGUAACCUGCCUGGUAGCGGGGGAUAACUAUUGGAAACGAUAGCUAAUACCGCAUAACAGUAGAUGUUGCAUGAUAUCUACUUAAAAGGUGCAAUUGCACCACUACCAGCUGGACCUGCGUUGUAUUAGCUAGUUGGUGAGGUAACGGCUCACCAAGGCGACGAUACAUAGCCGACCUGAGAGGGUGAUCGGCCAAACUGGGACUGAGACACGGCCCAGACUCCUACGGGAGGCAGCAGUAGGGAAUCUUCGGAAAUUGACGGAAGUCUGACCGAGCAACGCCGCGUGGGUGAAGAAGGUUUUCGGGUCGUAAAGCUCUGUUGUAAGAGAAGAACGAGUGUGAGGGUGGAAAGUUCACACUGUGACGGUAUCUUAACAGAAAGAGACGGCUAACUACGUG
rnacentral:rRNA from 1 species